rnacentral:rRNA from 1 species
UACGAAGGGGGCUAGCGUUGCUCGGAAUUACUGGGCGUAAAGCGCACGUAGGCGGAUUGUCAAGUCGGGGGUGAAAUCCUGGAGCUCAACUCCAGAACUGCCUUCGAUACUGGCGAUCUCGAGUUCGGGAGAGGUGAGUGGAACUGCGAGUGUAGAGGUGAAAUUCGUAGAUAUUCGCAAGAACACCAGUGGCGAAGGCGGCUCACUGGCCCGAUACUGACGCUGAGGUGCGAAAGCGUGGGGAGCAAACAGG